CCUUGUAUUUGGGAAAGUGUGGUGGUGGUGCGCGCGCUCUCGGCGGAGGGUAAACAUUCGACAGUCCCUGCUCUGUGAGGGAGGGACAGAGAGAGAACUGUCAGAGGGAGAGAAAGAGAAAGAGAGGAGGGGGAGGAGGGGAGGAGGAGGAGGAGGCGGCGGCGGCGAGGGAAGAGCAGAGCUGAGCUGCUGUACUCCAGCACCACCAGAGCACGCUUUGCAAGCUUGGCAGCCAACUUCCCCACUGGAGUUAGUGGCUAAAGGAUACCAUAUAUGCGCGCACACAAUCACACAUCUCUCACCGAGGCAAUUCCGCCUCCUCCCUCAGACAACAGCUGGAUCUUCUUUUCUCUUUUCCCCCCUUUCUUUUUUUCUCCUCUUCCUUUUCUAAUUAUAGAGCUCUCCGCCAAUUUUAAACUUUUCUUGGAGAAAAAAAGGGGUGUUUUUAAACUUGUGUUCUUUUAUCAUGUGAAAAGAAGAGCUGGGACCCCAAAGGCAAAACAAGAAAAAGAAAAGCAACAAAAAUGUCUUCUCCAGACUCUCGCAAGGAGGUUGCCAAAGGACUCUUGUUUCCAAGGGACCCGGGCGCUUCAACUGGAGCUCAACUUUGAGCAAUGCAUCAUCCCCAGCUUCGCCUCCUCCUCCUCCUCCACUGCCGCCUUCACCAGCAUCGCCAGAAGUUUUCUUAGGACAUAAACAAAACUUGUGCGCUACAGAAAGAGGAGGAAAGGAAAUCAAGGAGCCGAGCGGAGCCUGCGAAAACGAGAGAAGAGAGACAGUGUGUGCGUGUAUGUGUGUGAGGGGCGAAAGAAAGGAGCCCACACGCACUCAUUCACAACAUACAAAGCCUUGCAGGAGGAAAAGGGGGGGGGGAGAAGAAAGUUUCUCUGUGGGUGGAAAUUUAAAAAAGAAGAAGAAGAAGAAGGAAAACCUCUGAAGGAGAAAUAUGCCCCUGAGGGAGUGAAGGCAAGCCGAAAGGGGACUUCUUGGGUGACCUCCCCCGCUCCCACCGUUCCCGCUCUUUUCCCAUCCCUCUCUCUCUAUCUUUGUCUAUUUUGUGAUGUAUUUUUGGCGGCGGAGGCAAGCCCGAACAGGUGAAUUGCCUUAGCCGGGCUGAGGGCGAGGAAGAGGCACCCUUUUCGGAGAGCAGCCGGGAGCCCAGGAGGGCGCGCGCGGAGCUCGGUUUGGGGCCCGCCGGCUCGGCGGGCAGGCAGGCAGGGCGAGGAUUCGCCUCACCCACGACUUCGCUGCGGCGGCUGGAGUACGAAGUGGAGGGGGGGGGAGCCAGCAGCAGCAGCAGCAGCAGCAGGCAGCGGCGAUGGCUACGGCGGCGUCUAACCCUUACCUGCCCAGCAACAGCAUCCUGUCGGCGGGCUCGAUAGUGCACUCGGACGCGGUGUCCGGCGGGGGGAUGCAGCCGGGCAGCGUGGCCGUCACCUCGGUGUCUGGGGGCGGCUACCGGGGCGACCCUUCCUCAGUGAAGAUGGUCCAGAGUGACUUCAUGCAGGGCGCCAUGGCGGCCAGCAACGGCGGCCAUAUGCUGAGCCAUGCCCACCAGUGGGUGACAGCCUUGCCCCACGCCGCAGCCGCUGCCGCUGCCGCCGCCGCCGCCGCCGUGGAAGCCGGCUCGCCGUGGUCCAGCAGCCCGGUGGGCAUGACGGGCAGCCCGCAGCAGCAGCAGCAACAGCAGCAGCAGCAGCAACAGCAGCAGCCCGACGUGAAGGGAGGCGGCGGGCGGGACGACCUGCACUCGGGCCCAGCGUUGCACCACCGGCCCCCGCCGCACCUGGGCCCCCCGCACCAGGGCCACUGGGGCGCCACCACGGCCGCCCACCUGCCUUCCAUGGCCGGCCAGCAGCAGCAGCAGUCGCUCAUCUACUCGCAGCCCGGCGGCUUCACGGUCAACGGCAUGCUGAGCCCGCCGCCCGGCAGCCAGAGCCUCGUGCAUCCGGGCUUGGUGCGGGGAGACACGCCAGAGCUGAGCGACCACCCGGGCCACCACCACCAUCACCACCACCACCCGCACCCGCACCCGCACCACGGCGGCGGCGGAGGGGGAGGCGGCGGCGCGGGGGGCCUCAACAGCCACGACCCGCACUCCGACGAGGACACGCCGACCUCGGACGACCUGGAGCAGUUCGCCAAGCAGUUCAAGCAGCGGCGGAUCAAGCUGGGCUUCACGCAGGCCGACGUGGGCUUGGCGCUGGGCACCCUGUACGGCAACGUCUUCUCGCAGACCACCAUCUGCCGGUUCGAGGCUCUGCAGCUCAGCUUCAAGAACAUGUGCAAACUCAAGCCUUUGUUAAACAAGUGGCUGGAGGAAGCCGACUCGUCCACGGGCAGCCCCACCAGCAUCGACAAGAUCGCGGCGCAAGGCAGGAAGAGGAAGAAGCGGACCUCCAUCGAGGUGAGUGUCAAGGGGGCCUUGGAGAGCCACUUUCUGAAAUGCCCCAAGCCCUCCGCCCAGGAGAUUACGAACCUAGCGGACAGCCUGCAGCUGGAAAAGGAGGUGGUCAGGGUUUGGUUUUGCAAUCGGAGGCAGAAAGAGAAACGGAUGACCCCCCCGGGGAUCCAGCAGCAGACGCCCGACGAUGUCUACUCCCAGGUCGGCAACGUGAAUUCCGACACGCCGCCCCCGCACCACGGACUCCAGACGAGCGUGCAGUGAAAAGGCAGUCGUCGACACACAGUGAGAGGGAUUAGGAAGAAGGGAGAGAAGAAGAGAGAGAGAGAGAGGCAGAGAGGGAGGCAGGAGAGGGAGGCGGUUUGGGGAAGCCGAGGCGGGGUGGGGGAGGGGAGGGAGAAGGGAGGCAGAGACGCAAACAAUAACACAAACACACCACACCAAGUCUGCACCCAGGCUGGCUGGCUGGGUCUGGAGGUUUUGUUUUAAAUCCAUCUCUGAAAUGCUUGGGGUUGUCGAUCCCAGCGACAGAAAUGCUACCUUACUGUAGUGAGAAAAGAGAAACCAAAAUACAGCCGACCCGGAUGUUGUUCCCUUUUUUAAAAAAAAACAUAACAAAACAUAAUCUAAAUUAUGUCCUGUUGUUGUUUUUACUGUUGUUGCCGCGAUAAAAGAGCACUCUCUUCUGUACUUCUCUCUCUCCCUUCCAUCAUCAUUCCCUUGCCUCACACACACACACACACACCCGCAGCCGCAGCCCCCCUCCCCCCCCCACACAAACCUUUUAAAAACGAUCUGCGAUUCAUGGAAACUUUUCUAUCUUUCUUUCUCUCUUUCUCACUCACACAUACUCACAUUUUAAAAUAAAAUUAGUCUGGAUAAAGGAAGGAAGCAGGAGCAGCAUCCCUAGGAGGUGCUUGCUGCGCUCUAGAACUUAGUUUUUCUUGGCCAAACUGCAUUAAUUUGGUGCAAGGCAGGAGUCCACUUUGAAAGAAGAAACAUUACUCUGCAGGAAUGGAGAGGGUCGCUUCCUCUAGGUAGGAGAGAAAGGGAGGGAAAUGCACGCAGCACUAAAAGCAAGCAGAUCGGGUAGGAAAGCAAAUAUAUAUUAUAUAUAUCAAGAAAAAGAGAGAGAAAGAGAGCGAGGAGGAGGAAAAAAGAAAAGAAGAAAGACUGACCCUGAAAAGAAAGGGGGGUGGAGGGAGGGACUGCUACCCCACAGAAAAAAAUGCAGGGCGAGGUUGUUGGUCCUUAAAGUCGGAGCUCUGUAGAAGGAUUUUGCAUGAAUUAAGGCUAACAGCGACAUAAAGGGAAUAAUUCAGGGUUGUCAAAGUUAUGUUCCUGAUGGCUGCCAAUCAUCCUGGAAGAUUAAUUAAAAAAAGUUCACGGCUAAUAUUUUUUUUAUUAAUAUUUUUUAUUUUUUAUUUCUGGACUAAUUCAGAUAAAGGGAUUUUAAAAGGACUGGGCAUCUGCAGCUGCACUUAUCUGAACUUCUCUCCUAAAUCCGUUGCCAACUUGAUUGAAUGGGUGCUGUGGAUGUGAUUAUAUAACACUGCCAUUUCCUCGCAGUGUUUUUGAGGUUAAUCACGGAUUGACGGAAAUGUAUUGACUGAAAUGAAGGAUGGAGAGUACUACCACCGCUCUAAAGAUGCUAUGUCUGCCUUCACUUUAAAUACAUGUAUUUCUAUAGACUUAAAAAGGAAAGCACAAUGCAUAAUGGACACACUAGCUAAAGAAGACAAUAUACUUGCAUUUCCAGGAUAAAGGACAUUGAAUGAAGAGCAAUGCUAGGAGCGGCCCAAAGGUCUGAGAAAGAAUCACGCUCCAGUGCCUGAUCCACCAGGAAAUGGGGAACUGCCCCAGAUGUCCCUGCAUCAUCACUUCCAAGGCAAUCUUCCACCAGGAGACUAUCUGCCCUCUAUAUGGUCCUGGAGAUGCCAGAGACUCUUUCAUGCACAACAUGCUCUAUUCAGAGCAGAUGCUAAAUCAUGUGGACCUCAACCAAGUGCUGUUGUGGGUGCCCCCAGUGUUGAGGACGGUCCAUCUCAACAUAUCAGAACCAGAGGUACCAGCCCAGAAGUAUAUGGAAUAUAGGCCUGUGUCUGAUUUCAUUUUAUAUUAAGAGUUCAAUUAAAUGCCUGGACUCGUUAAACUGAUACCCAGGUCAACUGCUCUGUGAAGGAGGAGGCAAUCCAGCAUUGUAUUGUGAAAUGGCUACUCAAGGGAGUACAAAAGCCAAGCCUGAAUGCUGAAUGCUAUAUCCAAAUGCUAAAAUGUGACUCACUACCAGAUACUGUCUGAGGAAAAUCUCCCCUCUCCUGUUGCAAGAAGCCAGCGUUAAUCCUUGCCAACGAUUAACACAAUUGCUCUCUAUAGAGAUUCAACAUAGGUAAUGCAUACAAAGAAAAUACCUGUAGACUUUAAUUCUUAUCUCACUGAUGCUUCUGCCCUAGCCAAAUGUAUUGAACUCGUCUCACACAUGUACCCCUUUUUAUGUUACUUUAAAUAUUCUCUUGUUAUAAUUACACACUAGAUAGAGGUACACAAGAAAUAAUGUAAUUGCUGUCUCACACAAAUAGAACUAAUUCUCUCACUAAUUCCUGACUUUUAACACCUUUUGGGGUCAGACUGGCAAUUGGGGGAAGAUGCAAUUUGUAGCUCUGAGAUGCAGAUUUGCUUUGGGCAAUGUUCCCCCUCCCUUCCUAAGCGCACAGUUUACAGAAGAUGAGAUUGAGAUCUCUCUGGACUGGCCAAUAUCCUGAAUAAUUAAAAAGACAUUGUCAAGAAGGUAGCAGCAAGUUGUCACCUUUUUGGACCCAGGAAAGAUGAGACUUGAAUAGACUCUAUGAGAGAGAGAUCAAAGGAAAAUACACUAUAAAGAAUGAGGCUACUGGACAGAGAGUUAGCAGUCUUGUGCCUAUGGGCAAUCUUUUGCCUACAGUAAGAGCUGCUCAUAAAGAUCCCAGAGUUUGCUGCUAAGCCGCGGGGCAACAGCAGGAACUCUGUCCAUGGACAGGAGCUGUCUGUGACUUCUACUGCGCAGUGAGAAGUCAAGACUUCCCCAGCCAUGGUGCUCUGGCUCUCAGCUGUGAUCUGAGCAACUGCAAAUGCUGCUGUCUCCUGCCAAAGGCCUCGCUCCUUCAGCUGGAAAUACCUCCGCUCUCAAGUCUCUGAUCCUGGUAAAUAUGCUGUCCUUACGAGCCUGGAAUCCCUUCAUCCCUUCCCCUUCUUCUGCUCCCCUCCCCUCGUCCCUAUACUAAUCCCUGAUCUCCCCCAAACCAUGCCAGCCCUCAGCCUUCCUUCCCCCCCUCUUUUCUGCCUGUAUAUUAGGCUUUAGGAAGAUUUAAUGUACACACAUAUGUAGUUAGGAACACUGGUUGAAUACUGGUGCUGGCUAGGAUGUUCUGUUUAAAUGCUGUUAGUAAUAUAUUGAUAGAGUGUUCUGCUUUCUGCUAGACUAUGUGUUAUUCUUUUAUACUCAAUAAAGCCCAUUGAA